ACCUUCUCCUGCGGUUUCCGCUCCUUCCGCUCCUGCACGGUGGUCAGGUAGUUGACGGCUGCGUACUCCAGCACCGAGAGGAACACGAACACGAAGCUGACCCAGAGGUAGAUGUCCACCGCCUUGAUGUAGGAGACGCGGGGCAUGGAGGCGUUCACGCCGGUGAUGAUGGUGGACAUGGUCAGCACCGUGGUGAUCCCUGCAGGCAGAAAUCUUUUAGUCCUGGUCGUGUAUGAUGGACAGUCAGGGCACAUCCUGCAGCCACUCCAACCCUGGACCUGCCUGUCCACUCAGCACUGUCCACUUGAGGACAAACAGGUGGGCACAGAAAGCACCACAGACCAGGACCACCCACGCUAGAACUCAGCUCUAACAAGACCAAAGGUGAACUGUUUGCGUGGGCAUCUGUGGGAACCUGGAAACGACUUUGCUACAUAGAUUCUUUUUAAAAAAUUGAAUUAUAGUCAAUUGACAAUGUUGUGUUAAUUCCUGGUAUACAG